rnacentral:tmRNA from 1 species
GGGGGUGUACCGGUUUCGACAGGCAGGAGUGGUCUUGUGUUGCAGGUGAGGCUCUCAUCUGGUCUCUGAUUCAGGUGAAAAAAAUAACUGCUAAACGUAGAGACGAAGAGUCUGACGAACAGCUCGCUCUUGCUGCGUAAUUGUAGCUGAGCACGGAACUUGUGGGGCGCUGUUCCUAGCACCAUGAUGUUCUGUUACAGACAGGGACUUGCAUUGUACGGUGUCCAGACCGUGCGGUGGACUUUUUCUGGAAUACGGAGGCGACGCUUUUGGGGCUGCUACCGUCUCCCGACAACCACCUCGCCCUAAUAAACCUGUAGAGGCACCUGGUCAGCCUAUCUGGACGGGGGUUCAAUUCCCCCCACCUCCA